rnacentral:rRNA from 1 species
UGGGGAAUUUUUGACAAUGGGGGAAACCCUGAUCCAGCCAUCACGCGUGUGCGAUGAAGGCCUUCGGGUUGUAAAGCACUUUUGGCAGGAAAGAAACGUCAUGGGUUAAUACCCCGUGAAACUGACGGUACCUGCAGAAUAAGCACCGGCUAACUACGUGCCAGCAGCCGCGGUAAUACGUAGGGUGCAAGCGUUAUUCGGAAUUACUGGUCGUAAAGCGUGCGCAGGCGGUUCGGAAAGAAAGAUGUGAAAUCCCAGAGCUCAACUUUGGAACUGCAUUUUUAACUACCGGGCUAGAGUGUGUCAGAGGGAGGUGGAAUUCCGCGUGGAGCGGUGAAAUGCGUAGAUAUGCGGAGGAACACCGAUGGCGAAGGCAGCCGCCUGGGAUAACACUGACGCUCAUGCGCGAAAGCGUGGGGAGCAAACAGG